UCCUUUCAAGGAAGCUUUCCGAGCUUCGGGCCGGGUAACUGGCCUGGAUUGGAAAGCUCCGAUAAAAAGUCCUCUCUCUAGGAUCAGGAGAGGCACAGCCAAGGAACCAUCUCCCGUGACUUCGGUCAUGGAAGCGCCGUCAACAUAUCCCGUCCAGCAACAAUCGUCGGACCCUUUUGGGCUAGUAGCUCAGUUGGUUAGAGCACACGCUUGAUAAGCGUGGGGUCGGAGGUUCAAGUCCUCCCUGGCCCACCAUCGGGAUCACCAUCGGGGGCGUAGCUCAGCUGGGAGAGCACCUGCUUUGCAAGCAGGGGGUCGUCGGUUCGAUCCCGUCCGCCUCCACCAGGUGGCCCAAUAUUGCGUUUGGGUUGCCUGAUGCCGGCAGGCGGUGGGAAAGGACGAAAGACGGUUGUUGGUUGGGAAAAGAGAUCGGACAGACGUCCGGCAGUCGCGAUGCGGCGCCGGGUGUUUUUGUCUGGUGAGUUUGUUCUUUGUCAGUGUGAAUAGGUUGGUGCGUUUGUGUGCGUGCCGUGUCGCGGGUUGGUCUGACCCAUGCGAUGGUCCGGGGAACCGGGGUAUUGCGUGCUGUGCGAUGUGGCGGAAGCGUACAUGGACGACGUAAAGAGAAGAGUGGUCGUGACAUGAACUGCACUUUCUUGUGUGC
rnacentral:tRNA from 1 species